rnacentral:lncRNA from 1 species
GUGCUGACUUCUUGUGCCGGGAAUAUUUCAGUUGCAAGAGAUCACCCAUUUCAUCAAGAGCUUCUAAAACCUGCAAUGAGAUUGCUUUCCAAUAGCUAUCAUUGAACACCUAAGUAGCCCUGCUUUGCAGAGCCCAGAUUAAUAGCAAGCCUCACAAAGACACACAGUCUUAGUUUGCUAGCUUCUUUGAUUUUAAAGAAAAGAAGCAAGAUCCGUACCAUUAGGUUGUGGUUUAAGACCCUAGAGGAAUGUUAGAUGCUAAUUAAUUUUAUUUAGUGGUCUAACUCCAUACUAUGAAUGUUUAUUUUAUUUUGAGAGUGUGAAGAGAAGAAUAAAAACAUGUGACCCAUGCUUACCCUUAAAAGGUUUUAUUUUAAAAUGUAGUGACUUAUAUGUAGUCUUGUGGAAGAAAAAGAUAAGGUUGCAGAAUGCAUUUGAAGUUAUAUCUUCAUGACACAGCAAAUCACCUGGCCAAGAACAAAGAGGAAUGUUGCGGGAGCUGAUUAACAUCAUCCUCUGUCCUCUCAUGCUACCCCAGGCCUCCUGCUUUUAAAUACUCAUCUCUGUGUCCCAGAAAAUACUAGAACUUAACUCACAGGGACUGAGAACUUGUCUGUUUCAACUCUCUUACUUUAGGUGGGUACAUGUAUCCCCCAUUUUGCACAUGAAACAAAUGAGAUCCAGGAAGUAAAAAAAGGUCAUUUUCUGAGAACACAUGGACACAGGAAGGGGAACAUCACACACCAGGGACUGUUGUGGGAUGGGGGGAGUGGGGAGGGAUAGCAUUAGGAGAUAUACCUAAUGCUAAAUGACGAGUUAAUGGGUGCAGCACACCAACAUGGCACAUGUAUACAUAUGUAACAAACCUGCACGUUGUGCACAUGUACCCUAAAACUUAAAGUAUAUUAAUAAUAAAAUAAAAAAAAGGUCAUUUUCAAUUCUAGUAUAUCACCAAUCCUGUGGUAUUGGUCAUGCCUUUUUAACCUUUCUGAGCCUGUUUUUCUUAACCUGCCAAAUGAGGAGGAAGAUAAUAUUAGGGUCUAAUGCUUUGAAAAGGUAAGGUGAGGGUUGUUAAUGUUAGAAUGGGUGACUAAUAGAUCUUAUGGACUUUCCUCUUUGGGAAAUCUUUCAAACUGACAUUAAUUAAGAUUUCCUCCAACUUGUUAACAGUAAUUGAUUUCUUGGUGGUAGGAGUAUGAGUAUUUAAAAUGUUCUUCCCUGUUUUUCUAAAUUUCCUACAUCAAAUCUCAGUACUAAGAAAAAGUAACCAAAGUUAUCUUUAAAAUGACACCUCUCUGGGAUAGUUUCUAGCAAUCUUUGCUGAAGGUGGGGGAUGGACUAGUUCAGUGGUAUCCAAAGUGAAGGAUCUGCACAUUUGGGGCAUCUGUGAGAUAAUUUAUGGAGGAUGCAGGAGGAAAACAUUAGGAUUUCUAUUUUUUUUUUUUUUUUUUUUUUUGAGACAGCGUCUCACUCUGUUGCCCAGGCUGGAGUGCAGUGGCAUGAUCUCGGCUCACUGCAACCUCCGCCUCCCGGGUUCAAGUGAUUCUCCUGCCUCAGCAGUUCGAGUAGCUGGGAUUACAGGCACAUGCUACUACGCCUGGCUAAUUUUUGUAUUUUUAGUAGAGAUGGGGUUUCACCAUGUUGGCCAGGCUGGUCUCGAACUCCUGACCUCAGGUCAUCCGCCCACCUCAACCUCCCAAAGUGCUGGGAUUAUAGGCGUGAGCCACUGCGCCCGACCUCUAUUCAUUUUUAUCUCAACCUUUUAAACUUUUAUUUGUGUGUCUCUUAUAUAAUGUACGUAAUAUAUUGGUAUUGCAUAGAUCAUUUAUAAAGAAUUUAUGUUAAUGUCUGCUGAUCCAAGACCACCCAGAACACACUCGUGCUCAGAGUUAGGUUUCUUUAGCUUGCUGAGAUGGGAGAGGGAGGACACUGCAGAAGAACCGUGGGCAUCUUAGUGACAGGAAGAUGGGAGUGGCUUCUCACUGCAUUUGAGCUUGUGCCUGAGAUGACUCUAAGGAAGCAGGGACCAGUUCUGGGUUGGAUGCUGUUAAGAAGUGGGAGCAGUUCACUGGCUGGCUAUAUAUUUAUAAUUUCUAUCUGAAAGGCGAGAGAAUGAAAGCGAGGCUAGAGUUGUUAUUGGUGAAUGAGCAACUGUCACACAUGUCAGUCAGAAGAGGGAGACAUUAAGUAUUGUGGCCUUGUCUCUGUCUUGUCCAAAUGUGGUCGCAGAGUGCAUUUGUCUAAUAUUAUUUCUAGUCUAUGAGCCUUUAGGUUCAAUUGCUACCUUAAUGUACUGGCUGUUCAUCAGGGUCAUUUUCCAUUUUCUCUUACAUGUACAUUAAGGAACUGCUCAAAAUUUUCUGUUGAGAUGGGCACAUGAUCUCAACAGUUUAGAGGCAUUUGUCUAGAUGACUGAUGUCUCAGUAUCCUUUCAAAGCAGGUGUUUUGCAGCAAUUAAGAAGUUGUGAAGAGAAUCACAUACAUGAAUACCUCAGUGCUGCUUGGAGCACAAAAUUACAAAUUCAUCCAUGCUGUGUGUCCCUCCUGCCAUCUCAGGGAACUUGCUUCCCGGCCAUGCUCUCUUCUCUCCCUUCUGUGCAAGGUCCCCUCUUCACUGUCUUCUUCCCUUAAUGUGUAAACAUGCUCAAGCCUUCUACAUUUUCAAGGGUAUUUUCUAAACCUAUUUUUCUUUCUACAGUCAGACUUCUUGAAAGUUUUGCCUGUCUUUUCUUAACACCAACUCAUUUCAUUUAAAAGAAACAAUUUGUUAAAAUUCACAUUCUGGAAAUACAUACUCAUUUUAGAGAAUCUGGGAAAUAUAGAAGGGUGUAAAGAAAACAAAGUUCACUCAUCUCAAAAUCUGGUUAGCUCAGUUGUUAACAUGCUACUCAAUAAUUUGUACUGUGUACCUACUGUGUACAAUACAAUGGUUUAUGUUUUGAGGCUAUACUGGUGAAGACGAAGGACAUGGCAACUCUGUGUGUGUGUGCGUGUGUGUGCACAUGUGUACGUGUAUAAUUUCAAACUCAAGUUAUCCUCUUUACUCUUUUAUUUUUUUAUUAUUUCUGUUCCCUUCAUUCCCUUAAAAUGCCUACUCUAUGGAACAUCAAGUUCCUACUAAUUGCUAAUCCAAUAGUUUCUUCUCAUCACUCACUGCAUUUAAACUUCCUGCAGUUUUGAGGGGCAUUUUGACCCUCCUCCUUCUUGAAACUUUCUCCUCUGUAUGGAGUUUAAUACUACACUGAACAUGUCUUUCCUGACUGCUCUAGUUCCAUGUAAGUCUGGGUCCCCACCUGCGAUUCCUGUAUCUACCCUGGAAUGUAGGCACUCCCCAGGAGUCUGCCCUGUUCACUCUUGCUCAUAUCUGGACAAUUACAUCUUCUACUGUUGGCUGUAAGGAUCCCUCAGUUCCCUAAACUAUAGCAGUUCCAGCUUUGCAUACUCUCCUAAGCUCUAGAACCUUAUUUUUCUUCUAUAGGUGGACCAUGGACACAUAGUCUCAACAUGUCUAGGACUGAGCUCAUUCUAUUCCCCCACUCCCAUUGAAAAUUUGCUGUUCCUUACUGUAUACCUUAUCUCAUUUAAGUGCUUCACCAUCCUUCUAUUCAUCAGGGCUAAAGACCUCAAAUUGUCUUUGAUUCUCUCUUCCCACAUAUGCACCACAUCCAAUCAUUUGUCAAGUCAUGGCAGUUCCAUUCAUUUGUAAUAUUUGUUCAUGGAUUAGUUUCUUUUGUUUCCACUACCAUUAGCCUUGUCAUCUCUUGUUUUGUUUAAAUAGCUACAUCUUAGAUCCUUUCCUUUUGCCCCUUUCCUCUCCAGUUCAUUUGUCACGUUUAUUUCAUAAUGACAUGAUUGUGUCACUCCACUGAUUGGAAGUCUUGAAUGAUGCUCGAUAAGCUUUAUUAAAAAGGCCUGGCUCAAAAGCCACCUCCCCUGUGAAUCUUCUCCACUCUAAUAAUUCACCCCACCUUCAUGAUCCCACAGUUUUCUAUAUUUCUUCUUCAAGAUUCAUUCAUUCUGUCUGGUAUUAUAUGUGUUGCUUGUUUAUUAGCAUCUUCUCCUAGACUUUUUGCCCCAAGUUUGCACAUAGUUGACUCUCAAUAGUGUUUGCAAAACUGCAUUUAUGUUAUGUGACUCUUCCCAUUAACUCCAAACUGAGUAGAUGGCUUAGUUCUCUGAUAUUACUCAUUCACAUAACAAUGGAAAUCGAGGGACAAUAAAAGGCAAUUUUAAAAUCAUUUCCACCUCACUUAGGUGCUGCUGUAAUGUAGAUUUGUUCUUGUUGGUUUUCCAACAUGUUGCUUAGUUGGGUCAUAUUUUAUUAUGGCAGAUUUAGUGGCUAUGAAAAAUGUCAGGAUGCAUGUAAUUAAGUCUAAAACAGCAUUUUAGACCAGCUUUUGCAUUUAAGAUCAAGUAAAUAGAAGAACAUUUGGCUACUCAGUCAGUCUUUUGUAGGAAACCAAAACACUGAUUGAAAUCUUCACUAAACUGAUUUUCAUUUCUAUCUACUGAGUGGUCACAGUGUUGGCUGUUGUUGACGAGCUCUUGUUUUUUGGCAGUGACUUUUGUCAGUGUUGUUUUCCUAAAUAACCCAAGAGAAACCCAGAGAACCCCAAGCUGUCUC